rnacentral:rRNA from 1 species
ACGAACGCUGGCGGCGUGGAUAAGACAUGCAAGUCGAACGGGAGAAUUGCUAGCUUGCUAAUAAUUCUCUAGUGGCGCACGGGUGAGUAACACGUGAGUAACCUGCCUCUUAGUGGGGGAUAGCCCUGGGAAACCGGGAUUAAUACCGCAUACGAUUGAAAGAUCAAAGCAGCAAUGCGCUAGGAGAUGGGCUCGCGGCCUAUUAGUUAGUUGGUGAGGUAACGGCUCACCAAGGCGAUGACGGGUAGCCGGUCUGAGAGGAUGUCCGGCCACACUGGAACUGAGACACGGUCCAGACACCUACGGGUGGCAGCAGUCGAGAAUCAUUCACAAUGGGGGCAACCCUGAUGGUGCGACGCCGCGUGGGGGAAUGAAGGUCUUCGGAUUGUAAACCCCUGUCAUGUGGGAGCAAAUUAAAAAGAUAGUACCACAAGAGGAAGAGACGGCUAACUCUGUGCCAGCAGCCGCGGUAAUACAGAGGUCUCAAGCGUUGUUCGGAAUCACUGGGCGUAAAGCGUGCGUAGGCUGUUUCGUAAGUCGUGUGUGAAAGGCAGGGGCUCAACCCCUGGAUUGCACAUGAUACUGCGAGACUAGAGUAAUGGAGGGGGAACCGGAAUUCUCGGUGUAGCAGUGAAAUGCGUAGAUAUCGAGAGGAGCACUCGUGGCGAAGGCGGGUUCCUGGACAUUAACUGACGCUGAGGCACGAAGGCCAGGGGAGCGAAAGGGAUUAGAUACCCCUGUAGUCCUGGCAGUAAACGGUGCACGCUUGGUGUGCGGGGAAUCGACCCCCUGCGUGCCGGAGCUAACGCGUUAAGCGUGCCGCCUGGGGAGUACGGUCGCAAGAUUAAAACUCAAAGAAAUUGACGGGGACCCGCACAAGCGGUGGAGUAUGUGGCUUAAUUCGAUGCAACGCGAAGAACCUUACCUGGGCUUGACAUGUAAUGAACAACAUGUGAAAGCAUGCGACUCUUCGGAGGCGUUACACAGGUGCUGCAUGGCCGUCGUCAGCUCGUGUCGUGAGAUGUUUGGUUAAGUCCAGCAACGAGCGCAACCCCUGUUGCCAGUUACCAGCACGUCAAGGUGGGGACUCUGGCGAGACUGCCCAGAUCAACUGGGAGGAAGGUGGGGACGACGUCAGGUCAGUAUGGCCCUUAUGCCCAGGGCUGCACACGUACUACAAUGCCCAGUACAGAGGGGGCCGAAGCCGCGAGGCGGAGGAAAUCCUGAAAACUGGGCCCAGUUCGGACUGUAGGCUGCAACCCGCCUACACGAAGCCGGAAUCGCUAGUAAUGGCGCAUCAGCUACGGCGCCGUGAAUACGUUCCCGGGUCUUGUACACACCGCCCGUCACAUCAUGGAAGCCGGUCGCACCCGAAGUAUCUGAAGCCAACCGCAAGGAGGCAGGGUCCUAAGGUGAGACUGGUAACUGGGAUG